rnacentral:rRNA from 1 species
GACGAACGCUGGCGGCGUGCCUAAUACAUGCAAGUAGAACGCUGAAGGAGGAGCUUGCUUCUCUGGAUGAGUUGCGAACGGGUGAGUAACGCGUAGGUAACCUGCCUGGUAGCGGGGGAUAACUAUUGGAAACGAUAGCUAAUACCGCAUAAUAGCAGUUGUUGCAUGACAACUGUUUGAAAGGUGCAAUUGCACCACUACCAGAUGGCCCUGCGUUGUAUUAGCUAGUUGGUGGGGUAACGGCUCACCAAGGCGACGAUACAUAGCCGACCUGAGAGGGUGAGCGGCCACACUGGGACUGAGACACGGCCCAGACUCCUACGGGAGGCAGCAGUAGGGAAUCUUCGGCAAUGGACGGAAGUCUGACCGAGCAACGCCGCGUGAGUGAAGAAGGUUUUCGGAUCGUAAAGCUCUGUUGUAAGAGAAGAACGAGUGUGAGAGUGGAAAGUUCACAAUGUGACGGUAUCUUACCAGAAAGGGACGGCUAACUACGUG